UUCUCCUUUGAGUCUGCCUCCUACGCCACCAUUAAGAAGUUCAACGUUACUUACAGUGCGACAACACUGAACUCAAUCCAGGUGAUUUUCAACUGUGGCCACAUGAUUAAAGUGGGUAACUCAGCAGGAACGAAGAAUCAAGAAAUUGUGUUCGAUGACUAUGACAAAAUAAUCUCUGCAAAACUGUGGCCAAAUAUGACUGGUAACAGAUGUGGGGGGUUUGAGUUUGUGGUUGCAAAAUGCAAUGGAAACAUAACAACAACAUUAUCUGUCAAGUGUCAGCAACUGGGUGAGCCUGUGUGUUUGGAUGUGAAGUCUGGAAGGAUUUAUGGCAUUACAGGCAGAAGUGGAGAUGAAAUGGAUGCUCUGGGCUUCUACUUCAUUUAGUCUACAGCUAUGCAUACAUACAGGUUGCUG